GUGGGGAAUAUUGGACAAUGGGCGAAAGCCUGAUCCAGCCAUGCCGCGUGUGUGAAGAAGGUCUUCGGAUUGUAAAGCACUUUAAGUUGGGAGGAAGGGCAGUAAGUUAAUACCUUGCUGUUUUGACGUUACCAACAGAAUAAGCACCGGCUAACUUCGUGCCAGCAGCCGCGGUAAUACGAAGGGUGCAAGCGUUAAUCGGAAUUACUGGGCGUAAAUCGCGCGUAGGUGGUUCAGCAAGUUGAAGGUGAAAUCCCCGGGCUCAACCUGGGAACUGCCUCCAAAACUACUGAGCUAGAGUACGGUAGAGGGUAGUGGAAUUUCCUGUGUAGCGGUGAAAUGCGUAGAUAUAGGAAGGAACACCAGUGGCGAAGGCGACUACCUGGACUGAUACUGACACUGAGGUGCGAAAGCGUGGGGAGCAAACAGGAUUAGAAACCCUAGUAGUCC
rnacentral:rRNA from 1 species